rnacentral:rRNA from 1 species
UACAGAGGGGGCAAGCGUUGUUCGGAAUUACUGGGCGGAAAGGGCGCGUAGGUGGCGACCCAAGUCAAUGGUGAAAGCUCGAUGCUCAACAUCGAGUCGGCCACUGAUACUGGGUUGCUCGAGCACUGUAGAGGCAGAUGGAAUUCCGGGUGUAGCGGUGGAAUGCGUAGAGAUCCGGAAGAACACCGGUGGCGAAGGCGGUCUGCUGGGCAGUUGCUGACACUGAGGCGCGACAGCGUGGGGAGCAAACAGG